GUUUUCAUUGAGAGCAUCUUACGCACACGAAGCUUAAUGGUUGGAGACUUUGCCCCAUGAUGACCAUCAAUCAACGCGAAUGCGAAUGCUACCUUUAAUGCAUCCCCGUGCACACGCUACCUACCCUUGGCUUCUUUUACCUCGCAACAUUGUGAGCACCAUAGUGUAACGUAUGCAAUUAUAUCGUGCCAUCAAUGAAGGCCAUCAAUUUGCCUGCCAAUGCACAGUACAGGAGAUCUACGACGGCGGCCAACCGUCCGCCACAAAUAGCCUACCCCUGAGCCGGUCAUGACCGAUUCGAUUGCACACCGCCGUCUCGCGUCGGCAGCUAGUCCCCACGGACUCGCUGACGCCGCCGUCUCGCGUCGGCGGGGAGUCCCCACGGACUCGUUGACGCCGCCUGGUCAACACGAGACCGAGUCGUCACCCGUGACCAACCUGACCGCACACGGAAACGACGAGGUAUCCCUCACGACGUUAUUCUUUAAGAUUUAGAGAGAAAAAUAAAUAAACGAAAUAUUAAAAGAGAAAUAAGUGGGAACUACUAAUUAAUAAUAGUUUACAUUUUCCAGGCUUUUUUUUAACCACCACCCGAACCUAAAAAGAAAAAAGAAAAAAAGAAAUGGAGAAAGCAAUCCACCAGAAAGCCGUCAAUCAUCAUCAUAUCACAAGGGAGUGGGGUCUCCUCCGGGACGAGAUCGGGGCCGUCCAUCGAGCCGGGGGAAGG
rnacentral:lncRNA from 1 species